rnacentral:rRNA from 1 species
UUUAGAGUUUGAUCAUGGCUCAGAAUGAACGCUGGCGGCGUGCUUAACACAUGCAAGUCGAACGGUAACAGAAGAGAGCUUGCUCUCUUGCUGACGAGUGGCGCACGGGUGAGUAAUAUAUAGAUAGUGUGCCUCUUAGUCUGGGAUAGCCAUUGGAAACGAUGAUUAAUACCGGAUACUCCUUCUUAUCAAAAGAUAAGUUGGGAAAGUUUCUCGCUAAGAGAUCGGUCUAUAUCCCAUCAGGUAGUUGGUAGUGUAAGAGACUACCAAGCCAAUGACGGGUAGCGGGUUUGAGAGGAUGAUCCGCCACACUGGUACUGAGACACGGACCAGACUCCUACGGGAGGCAGCAGUGAGGAAUAUUGCACAAUGGAGGAAACCCUGAUGCAGCAACGCCGCGUGGAGGAUGACGCAUUUCGGUGUGUAAACUCCUUUUAUAUGUCAAGAAAAUGACGGUAGCAUAUGAAUAAGCACCGGCUAACUCCGUGCCAGCAGCCGCGGUAAUACGGAGGGUGCAAGCGUUAUUCGGAAUCACUGGGCGUAAAGGACGCGUAGGCGGGUUGGAAAGUCAGAUGUGAAAUCCUACAGCUUAACUGUAGAACUGCAUUUGAAACUUCCAAUCUAGAGUAUGGGAGGGGCAGAUGGAAUUAGUGGUGUAGGGGUAAAAUCCGUAGGUAUCACUAGGAAUACCGAAAGCGAAGGCGAUCUGCUGGAACAUAACUGACGCUAAGGCGUGAAAGCGUGGGGAGCAAACAGGAUUAGAUACCCUGGUAGUCCACGCCCUAAACGAUGAACACUAGUCGUCGGGAUGCUAGUCAUCUCGGUGAUGCACUUAACAGAUUAAGUGUUCCGCCUGGGGAGUACGGUCGCAAGAUUAAAACUCAAAUGAAUUGACGG